rnacentral:rRNA from 1 species
CAAUAGCGUAUAUUUAAGUUGUUGCAGUUAAAAAGCUCGUAGUUGGAUUUCGGAUGGGCUUGACCGGUCCGCCGUUUGGUGUGCACUGGUCGUGCCUAUCUUGCUGCCGGGGACGCGCCCCUGGCCUUAAUUGGCUGGGACGCGGAGUCGGCGAUGUUACUUUGAAAAAAUUAGAGUGUUCAAAGCAGGCCUAAGCUCUGAAUACAUUAGCAUGGAAUAACGCUAUAGGACUCUGGUCUUAUUGCGUUGGUCUUCGAGACCGGAGUAAUGAUUAAGAGGGACAGUUGGGGGCAUUCGUAUUUCAUUGUCAGAGGUGAAAUUCUUGGAUUUAUGAAAGACGAACUUCUGCGAAAGCAUUUGCCAAGGAUGUUUUCAUUAA